UACAGAGGUCCCAAGUGUUGUUCGGAUUCAUUGGGCGAAAGGGUGCGUAGGCGGCGCGGUAAGUCGGGUGUGAAAUCUCGGGGCUUAACUCCGAAACUGCAUUCGAUACUGCCGUGCUUGAGGACUGGAGAGGAGACUGGAAUUUACGGUGUAGCGGUGAAAUGCGUAGAUAUCGUAAGGAAGACCAGUGGCGAAGGCGGGUCUCUGGACAGUUCCUGACGCUGAGGCACGAAGGUCAGGGGGAGCAAACGGGAUUAGAAACCCCCAGGUAA
rnacentral:rRNA from 1 species